CCCAGGAAAAGGAUAUGCAUAUUGCUGUGUUAGGGAUGGCGAUGGAGCGAUAUGUGGCUGCAGCCCCUGUUGUUGGACAGUGUACCUCGGUGGGUAUAGUGAUGGGCAUCAUUUGCCCCAAUGAUGGUGUCUUUGAUCUCAUUCGUAUUCCGAUCGCAAAAAGGAAAGAAAAACGAAGUAAAACAUGAUCUACUCAAAGAAAUUGGAGAAUGUUGUUACAAAUAUAUA
rnacentral:lncRNA from 1 species